GCUCCGGUGGCAUGGUGGUAAGAGCGUCCACCUCGGAUGCGGGAGGUCGCGGGUUCGAAACCUCGGCUGAGUCA